rnacentral:rRNA from 1 species
AGGGCAUCUUCCACAAUGGACGGAAGUCUGAUGGAGCAACGCCGCGUGAGUGAUGAAGGUUUUCGGAUCGUAAAACUCUGUUGUAAGGGAAGAACCAGUACGUCAGGCAAUGGACGUACCUUGACGGUACCUUAUUAGAAAGCCACGGCUAACUACGUGCCAGCAGCCGCGGUAAUACGUAGGUGGCAAGCGUUGUCCGGAAUUAUUGGGCGUAAAGCGCGCGCAGGUGGUUUCUUAAGUCUGAUGUGAAAGCCCACGGCUUAACCGUGGAGGGUCAUUGGAAACUGGGAGACUGGAGUGAAGAAGAGGAAAGGGGAAUCCAAAGGGUAGCGGGGAAAUGCGUGGAGAUUGGGAGGAACACAAGUGGCGAAGGGGACUUUCGGGUCGCAAACGGACGUGGAGGCGCAAAAGCAUGGGAGCAAACA